rnacentral:sRNA from 1 species
UGUAUACCUCUAUAACUUUUAGACCGCGAGGCCAAACUUUGCAUGUGAUACCUUUUCGGAAAGCCCAAAGAGAGCUAUAUGAAUGAGGAAGGAAAUUGGAAUCCUUCUAUUGAUUUUUUUUCUACUCAAAAUUUUGACCUUAAUGUACUUUUUCUAUCCUUUUCGUGAUCUUUGCUAUAUUACGGGACAAAAAUUAUAUGUUCAGACAUUGUUUUCCAAUUUUUUGCAUGUAUCAAAGCUCUUAUAAACAAGAUAGGGUAUUCCUACAUAGCUGGUGGGACCCACGGCAAAUGGAUCAUAAAGUCUUCAAAAACGAAUAGAUACGAUUGCAUUGCUUGUAGUAACGGAUGCGAUCAUAUCAGCCCUUAUGCAUCAGAUCCCAUCAAUACUCUGCAGUUAAGCUUGCUUGGGCGAGAAUAGUAUUAGGAUGGGUGACCUCCGGGAAAGUCCUU